UUAAGAAGGUGUCUAGGGA
rnacentral:piRNA from 1 species